GCCUUGCUAGCUCAAUCUGUAGAGCAUGAGACUCCUACAUGCAAUAUAUGCCUUAACUGGCUGUAUUGUGAGUUAUGUAAAUCUCAAGGUUGGGGGUUCGACCACCCCCGUAGGACU
rfam:Sphaerobolus stellatus SS14 unplaced genomic scaffold SPHSTscaffold_132, whole genome shotgun sequence.